ensembl:lncRNA
AGCUAACAAGUUACGUAACCACGACCAACCUUGACGUUACGGAUUGGUAAUGUCAAAAAAAACAAAAAAAAUCUAUAUAUAUAUAUAUAUAUAUAUAUAUAAGAUAUACCUGGCAAACUAGCUACUGCAGCCAGCAAACUGUACUGUAUGACUACGUUAAACAAACAUCCGUUUAGUUCGGCAAGCCGACAUCAAGGAAUCUCAGGUGCUGAGUGCUGCAGAGAGGGUGAUCCGCCAAGCUUCACCAAUGCCAGCUCCUAAGGUGUCGACAGUCACAGACAUCGUCCGGCAGGAGAUUGGAACGGAGGAUGUUUUUCUGCUUGGGGAACACAUUGAGGAGACUCAGUUUGGCAUCGACAACCAUCAUUCUGACUUGUUGUCAUUGGUUGUGUCUGUGUUUCUCAAAAUAAGGCUGCACCACAUUACCA